AGGGUUCGAUUCUGGCUCAGGAUGAACGCUAGCGACAGGCUUAACACAUGCAAGUCGAGGGGCAGCAUAGAAGUAGCAAUACUUGGUGGCGACCGGCGCACGGGUGAGUAACGCGUAUGCAACCUACCUAUCAGAGGGGAAUAACCCGGCGAAAGUCGGACUAAUACCGCAUAAAACAGGGGCACCGCAUGGUGAUAUUUGUUAAAGAAAUUCGCUGAUAGAUGGGCAUGCGUUCCAUUAGGUAGUUGGUGAGGUAACGGCUCACCAAGCCGACGAUGGAUAGGGGAACUGAGAGGUUGGUCCCCCACACUGGUACUGAGACACGGACCAGACUCCUACGGGAGGCAGCAGUGAGGAAUAUUGGUCAAUGGGCGGGAGCCUGAACCAGCCAAGUCGCGUGAAGGAAGAAGGAUCUAUGGUUCGUAAACUUCUUUUGCAGGGGAAUAAGGUGCAGGACGUGUCCUGUUUUGUAUGUACCCUGAGAAUAAGGAUCGGCUAACUCCGUGCCAGCCGCCGC
rnacentral:rRNA from 1 species